rnacentral:rRNA from 1 species
ACCCCAGACUCCUACGUGAGGCAGCCGUAAGGGAUAUUGGUCAAUGGGGGAAACCCUGAACCAGCAACGCCGCGUGAGGGAAGACGGUUUUCGGAUUGUAAACCUCUGUCCUCUGUGAAGAUGAUGACGGUAGCAGAGGAGGAAGCUCCGGCUAACUACGUGCCAGCAGCCGCGGUAAUACGUAGGGAGCGAGCGUUGUCCGGAUUUACUGGGUGUAAAGGGUGCGUAGGCGGCUUGGCAAGUCAGUAGUGAAAUCCAUGGGCUUAACCCAUGAACUGCUAUUGAAACUGUCGAGCUUGAGUGAAGGAGAGGUAGGCGGAAUUCCCGGUGUAGCGGUGAAAUGCGUAGAGAUCGGGAGGAACACCAGUGGCGAAGGCGGCCUGCUGGGCCUUUACUGACGCUGAGGCUCGAAAGUGUGGGGAGCAAACAGGAUUAGAUACCCCCGUA